rnacentral:rRNA from 1 species
AUUGAACGCUGGCGGCAGGCCUAACACAUGCAAGUCGAAUGGUAACAGGAAACAGCUUGCUGUUUCGCUGACGAGUGGCGGACGGGUGAGUAAUGUCUGGGAAACUGCCUGAUGGAGGGGGAUAACUACUGGAAACGGUAGCUAAUACCGCAUAACGUCGCAAGACCAAAGAGGGGGACCUUCGGGCCUCUUGCCAUCAGAUGUGCCCAGAUGGGAUUAGCUAGUAGGUGGGGUAACGGCUCACCUAGGCGACGAUCCCUAGCUGGUCUGAGAGGAUGACCAGCCACUCUGGAACCGAGACACGGUCCAGACUCCUACGGGAGGCAGCAGUGGGGAAUAUUGCACAAUGGGCGCAAGCCUGAUGCAGCCAUGCCGCGUGUAUGAAGAAGGCCUUCGGGUUGUAAAGUACUUUCAGCGGGGAGGAAGGGAGUAAAGUUAAUACCUUUGCUCAUUGACGUUACCCGCAGAAGAAGCACCGGCUAACUCCGUG